rnacentral:lncRNA from 1 species
GUAUAGAAUAAAAUUUACUAUACUUGAUUUACUAUACUAUACUGGGGAAAAUAAUAAAAAGUAUUUUUUACUCCUCUAGCUCUGGUCAUAUCUAUCCUCUUUAGACUUAAAGAAAGAUAAAAAACAAAAAGAAAUCAUAACAAAGUAGAAUAGGGAUAUAGUUCUAUUUUUUUUUUUUCAGUACUGGAGAUUGAACCCAGGAGCACUCAGCCACUGAGCCACAUACCUAGCCCUUUUUUGUAUUUAAUUUAGAGACAGGGUCUCACUGAGCUGCUUAGCAUCUCACUAAAUUGCUGAAAUUGGCUUUGACUUGAGAUCCUCCUGCCUCAGCCUCCUGAGCUACUGGGAUUACAGGCCUGUACCACUAUAUCUGGUGAAUCUAGGUCUCUUAACAUCUUGCUUAUAAAUUGAGAAUUCUCUGAAUAUGAUCAUACUCUUUUUGCCACUAGAUUUAUAUGCACUUAUGUACUAAAAUAUACAAAUUUGAUAGAGAAAAAGAGGCUAUUGCAUUGACCCUGAGUUUAAUUCCAGUGGCCACCAUUUAUUCUAUGUCUUCUGAAAUGUAUCUCACUUCAUAACAACCAGGACAAGGAAGAUAUUACUGUUAACCUUUUCCUUGAAACUGAAGCUCAGAGAAGUUAGAUGAAUUUGCCUGAGAUUGCAUUCACACCCCACAUCCAUCUUAUUAAAAGGGCCAUGCUUCCAAUCUUUAAAAUGAGGAGAGGAAACACCAUGUGAAGACAGAGGCAGGUGUUGGUCUAAUGUUUCCACAAGUCAGGGAUACUAAAGGUUGCUGGCAAGUAUAGAAGUUAGGAAAGAAACAUACAACAGAUUCUCCCUUAGAAAUUUCAGAAGGAACUAACCCUUUGGACACCUGGAAUUUGGAUUUCUAGGUACCAGUACUGUGAGACAAUAAGUUUAUGUCCUUCUAAGUCACCUAGUCUGUGGUACUUUGUUAUAAUCCUAAAAAACUAAUAUUCCAUGCUUCUACUUUAGAGCAAUAAUGAGAUGGUAAGAGAUCCUAAAAGAUGAGGAUGCUAGUUAAUACAGAUACUUAUCCAUCUCAUGCCAUUUAUCCCCCCACGAACACACAUAUGUACUGAAUGGUUCCCAUGACACAUUUAAUGCUCAUAGCUACAAUACUGUGAGACACAUGCAUUCCCCCAUGUUCUAAUGGUUGUGUGCUUACCAAGUAGUUGGGAUUCAUGCUUUAUUCUUUAUACUGCAUAAGAUAGAUAUUAUUACCAAGAAUCAGUUGUGUUUAUUCCCAGUUGUUCUUGCUAUAAUAAUUUUGUAACUUGCUUAAUAAAAAACAGGGGUUCUAUGAGGCCAAUAUCACCCUGAUCCCAAAACCAGUCAAAGACACAUCAAAGAAAGAAAACUGCAGACCAAUAUCUCUAAUGAACAUAGAUGCAAAGAUUCUCAAUAAAAUUCUAGCAAAUCAAAUACAAAAACAUAUCAAAAAGAUUGUGCACCAUGAUCAAGUGGGAUUCAACUCAGGGAUGCAAGGUUGGUUCAACAUACGGAAAUCAAUAAAUGUAAUUCAUCACAUCAAUAGACUUAAAGAUAAGAAUCAUAUGAUCAUCUCAAUAGAUGCAGAAAAAUCAUUUGACAAAAUAUAGCACCCCUUUAUAUUCAAAACACUAGAAAAACUAGGGAUAAUAGGAACAUAUCUCAACAUCGUAAAGGCUAUCUAUGCUAAGCCUCAGGCCACCAUCAUUCUAAAUAGAGAAAAAUUGAAGGCAUUCCCUCUAAAACCUGGAACAAGACAGGGAUGCCCCCCCUAUCACCACUUCUAUUCAAUAUAGUUCUUGAAACACUGGCCAGAGGAAUUAGGCAGACAAAUGAAAUCAAAGUAAUAUAUAUAGGAAAAGAAGAACUUAAAUUAGCAAUAUUUGCUAAUGAUGAUAUGAUUCUACACCUAGAAGACCCAAAAACUCUCCCAGAAAACUUCUAGAACUAGUAAAUGAAUGCAGAAAAGUAAUAGGAUAUAAAAUCAACACCCAUAAAUUAAAGGCAUUUCUGUAUAUCAGUGACAAAGCUGCUGAGAGGGAAAUGAAAAAAACUACCCCAUUCACAAUAGCCCCUCCCCCCAAAAAAGAUACUCAGGAAUCAACUUAACAAAAGAGGUGAAAGAUCUAUAUAAUGAAAACUACAGAACCCUAAAUAGAGAAAUCCAAUAAGUCCUUAGAAGAUGGGAAUAUCUACCUUGUUCUUGGAUAGGCAGAAUUAAUAUUAUCAAAAUGACCAUACUACCAAAAGCAUUAUACAGAUUUAAUGCAAUUCCAAUCAAAAUCCCUAUGACAUUCCUCAUAGAAAUAGAAAAAGCAAUGAUGAAAUUCAUCUGGAAAAAUAAGAGACUCAGAAGAACUAAAGCAAUCCUAAGCAGGAAGAGUGAAGCAGGUGGCAUCACUGUACCAGACCUUAAACUAUACUACAGAGCAAUAGUAACAAAAACAGCAUAGUAUUGGCAACAAAACAGACUGGUAGACCAAUGGUAUAGAAUAGAGAACACAGAGUCUAACCCACAAAAUUACAAUUAUCUUAUAUUAGACAAAGGUGCCAAAAACAUGCACUGGAGAAAAGAUAGCCUCUUCAACAAAUGGUGCUGGGAAAACUGGAAAUCCAUAUACAACAAAAUAAAAUUAAACCCCUAUUUCUCACCAUGCACAAAACUUAAAAUGGAUCAAGGACCUAGGAAUUAGACCAGAGACUCUAUGUCUAAUAGAAGAAAAAGUAGGCCCUAAUCUUCAUCAUGUGGGAUUAGGCCCCAACUUCCUUAAUAAGACUCCUAUAGUGUAAGAAUUAAACCAAGAAUCAAUAAAUGGGAUGGAAUCAAACUAAAAAGUUUCUUCUCAGCAAAGAAACAAUCUGUGAGGUGAACAGAGAGCCCAAAUCCUGGGAGCAAAUUUUUUCCCCUCACACGUCAGAUAGAGCAGUAAUCUUUAGGAUAUAUAAAGAACUCAAAAACCAAAAAACAAAUAACCCAAUCAACAAAUGGGCCAAGGACCUGAACAGACACUUCUCAGAAGAGGAUAUGCAAUCAAUCAACAAAUAUAUGAAAAAAUGCUCAUCAUCUCUAGCAAUCAGAGAAAUGCAAAUCAAAACUACUCUAAGAUAUCAUUUCACUCCAGUCAGAACGGCAGCUAUUAUGAAGAUAAAGAACAAUAAAUGUUGGAGAGGAUGUGGGGAAAGGGUAUACUCAUACAUUUCUGGUGGGACUGAAAAUUGGUACAGCCAAUAUGGAAAGCAAUAUGGAGAUUUCCUUGGAAAUCUGGAAAUGGAACCACCAUUUGACCCAGCUAUCCCUCUCCCCGGACUAUACUCAAUGGACUUAAAAACAGUAUACUACAGGGACACAGCCACAUCAAUGUUUAUAGCAGCACAAUUCACAAUAGCUAAACUUUGGAGCCAACCUAGAUGCCCUUCAGUGUAUGAAUGGAUAAAAAAAAUGUGAUAUAUAUAUAUAUAUAUAUAUAUAUAGCAUUAAAAGAAUAAAUCAUAGAAGAUAAUGCUAAGUGAAGUUAGCCAAUCCCCCCAAAAAACAAAUGCUGAAUGUUUUCUCUGAUAUAAGGAGGCUGACUCAUAGUGGGGUAGGGAGGGGGAGCAUAGGAGGAU